AGUGAACGCUGGCGGCAGGCCUAACACAUGCAAGUCGAGCGGAUGAAGGGAGAUUGCUCCUUGAUUCAGCUGGGGACGGGCGGGUGAGUCCUAGGAAUAUGCCUUGUAGUUGGGGAUAGGGUCCUGAAGCGGGCGCUAAUACGGUAUACGUCCAUAGGGCGAACGGGGGGGAUCAUCGGACCUUACGCUAUUAGAUGAGUCUAGGACGGAUUGGCUAGUUGGUGGGGUAAAGGCCUACCAAGGCGACGAUCCGUAACUGGUCUGAGAGGAUGAUCAGCCACACUGGAACUGAGACACGGUCCAGACUCCUACGGGAGGCAGCAGUGGGGAAUAUUGGACAAUGGGCGAAAGCCUGAUCCAGCCAUGCCGCGUGUGUGAAGAAGGUCUUCGGAUUGUAAAGCCCUUUUAGUUGGGAAGAAAAGCAGUAAGUUAAUACCUUGCUGUUUUGACGUUACCAAAAGAAUAAGCACCGGCUAACUUCGUG
rnacentral:rRNA from 1 species